rnacentral:rRNA from 1 species
GACGAACGCUGGCGGCGUGCUUAACACAUGCAAGUCGAACGGAAAGGCCCUGCUUUUGUGGGGUGCUCGAGUGGCGAACGGGUGAGUAACACGUGAGUAACCUGCCCUUGACCUUGGGAUAACUUCAGGAAACUGGGGCUAAUACCGGAUAGGAGCUCCUGCUGCAUGGUGGGGGUUGGAAAGUUUCGGCGGUUGGGGAUGGACUCGCGGCUUAUCAGCUUGUUGGUGGGGUAGUGGCUUACCAAGGCUUUGACGGGUAGCCGGCCUGAGAGGGUGACCGGCCACAUUGGGACUGAGAUACGGCCCAGACUCCUCCGGGAGGCAGCAGUGUGGAAUAUUGCACAAUGGGCGGAAGCCUGAUGCAGCAACGCCGCGUGCGGGAUGACGGCCUUCGGGUUGUAAACCGCUUUCGCCUGUGACGAAGCGUGAGUGACGGUAAUGGGUAAAGAAGCACCGGCUAACUACGUG